rnacentral:rRNA from 1 species
CCUACGGGUGGCAGCAGUGAGGAAUAUUGGUCAAUGGGCGCGAGCCUGAACCAGCCAAGUCGCGUGAGGGAAGACGGUCCUAUGGAUUGUAAACCUCUUUUGUCGGGGAGCAAAAGACGCCACGCGUGGCGUUCCGAGAGUACCCUAAGAAAAAGCAUCGGCUAACUCCGUGCCAGCAGCCUCGGUAAUACGUAGGUGGCAAGCGUUAUCCGGAAUGACUGGGCGUAAAGGGUGCGUAGGGGGUUUAGUAAGUUGGCGGUGAAAUUCCGGGGCUCAACCUCGGCGCUACCGCGAAAACUAUUAGACUGGGGGGCAGGAGGGGUGAGUGGAAGUCCUGGUGUGGCGGUGAAAUGCGUGGAUAUUAGGAGGAACAUCAGGGGCGAAGGCGACUUACUGGACUGUAACUGACACUGAGGCACGAAAGCGUGGGGAGCAAACAGGAUUAGAUACCCUUGUAGU